UACGAAGGGGGGCUAGCGUUGUUCGGAAUUACUGGGCGUAAAGCGCACGUAGGCGGAUACUUAAGUCAGGGGUGAAAUCCCGGGGCUCAACCCCGGAACUGCCUUUGAUACUGGGUAUCUCGAGUCCGAGAGAGGUGAGUGGAAUUCCGAGUGUAGAGGUGAAAUUCGUAGAUAUUCGGAGGAACACCAGUGGCGAAGGCGGCUCACUGGCUCGGUACUGACGCUGAGGUGCGAAAGGCGUGGGGAGCAAACAGG
rnacentral:rRNA from 1 species